rnacentral:rRNA from 1 species
UACGGAGGGUGCGAGCGUUACCCGGAUUUACUGGGUGUAAAGGGCGCGUAGGCGGUUAUUCAAGUCCGAUGCUAAAGACCGAAGCUCAACUUCGGGAGUGCGUUGGAUACUGGAUGGCUAGACGAUCGGAGAGGGUAGCGGAAUGGUCAGAGUAGCGGUGAAAUGCGCAGAUACUGAUCGGAACGCCAAUAGCGAAAGCAGCUACUUGGACGAUAAGUGACGCUGAGGCGCGAAAGCGUGGGGAGCAAACCGG